GACGAACGCUGGCGGCGUGCUUAACACAUGCAAGUCGAACGGAAAGGCCCUGCUUUUGUGGGGUGCUCGAGUGGCGAACGGGUGAGUAACACGUGAGUAACCUGCCCUUGACUUUGGGAUAACUCCAGGACACGGGGGCGGAUACAGGAUAUGAGCUCCUGCUGCGUGGGGGGGGUUGGAAAGAUUCGGCGGUUGGGGAUGGACUCGCGGCUGCUCAGCUUGUUGGUGGGGUAGUGGCUUACCAAGGCUUUGACGGGUAGCCGGCCUGAGAGGGUGACCGGCCACAUUGGGACUGAGAUACGGCCCAGACUCCUACGGGAGGCAGCAGUGGGGAAUAUUGCACAAUGGGCGGAAGCCUGACGCAGCAACGCCGCGUGCGGGAUGACGGCCUUCGGGUUGUAAACCGCUUUCGCCUGUGACGAAGCGUGAGUGACGGUAAUGGGUAAAGAAGCACCGGCUAACUACGUG
rnacentral:rRNA from 1 species